GAGGACUAGACUGGACUGGACCUGAGGUGCUGACCAGGCAUGAGGAAGAACAGAACAAACCAGAGGCUGUGUAACUAAAAGUGGGAACAAGCGAAAGUGGACGUAGUAGCAGACUGUAGGGUUGUUCUAAGUGCAGAGAAUGGAGCCCCUGACCCAGAAGCUGGAGCCACAAGGACCUUGGAGACAAGGAUUUCAAGCUAGGCAUUGAAGCCAGACUAGCAGUCUUAAAAAAAACAGAGGAGUCCACCGAUGCUAGCCCAAUGGAAUUUUGAAUUUGAACUUGAUGGGAUUAUUGCUACGUAGGAAUUAAAUUGAAUCUAAUCUCCCUUCCCUACCAAACUACCAAGGUAUUGGGGGAAGUGUUUAAAUGCUUA